rnacentral:rRNA from 1 species
UCAACCGAGAUUCCCCCAGUAGCGGCGAGCGAACGGGGAGGAGCCCAGAGCCUGAAUCAGUGUGUGUGUUAGUGGAAGCGUCUGGAAAAGCGCGCGAUACAGGGUGACAGCCCCGUACACAAAAAUGCACAUGCUGUGAGCUCGAUGAGUAGGGCGGGACACGUGGUAUCCUGUCUGAAUAUGGGGGGACCAUCCUCCAAGGCUAAAUACUCCUGACUGACCGAUAGUGAACCAGUACCGUGAGGGAAAGGCGAAAAGAACCCCGGCGAGGGGAGUGAAAAAGAACCUGAAACCGUGUACGUACAAGCAGUGGGAGCACGCUUAGGCGUGUGACUGCGUACCUUUUGUAUAAUGGGUCAGCGACUUAUAUUCUGUAGCAAGGUUAACCGAAUAGGGGAGCCGAAGGGAAACCGAGUCUUAACUGGGCGUUAAGUUGCAGGGUAUAGACCCGAAACCCGGUGAUCUAGCCAUGGGCAGGUUGAAGGUUGGGUAACACUAACUGGAGGACCGAACCGACUAAUGUUGAAAAAUUAGCGGAUGACUUGUGGCUGGGGGUGAAAGGCCAAUCAAACCGGGAGAUAGCUGGUUCUCCCCGAAAGCUAUUUAGGUAGCGCCUCGUGAAUUCAUCUCCGGGGGUAGAGCACUGUUUCGGCAAGGGGGUCAUCCCGACUUACCAACCCGAUGCAAACUGCGAAUACCGGAGAAUGUUAUCACGGGAGACACACGGCGGGUGCUAACGUCCGUCGUGAAGAGGGAAACAACCCAGACCGCCAGCUAAGGUCCCAAAGUCAUGGUUAAGUGGGAAACGAUGUGGGAAGGCCCAGACAGCCAGGAUGUUGGCUUAGAAGCAGCCAUCAUUUAAAGAAAGCGUAAUAGCUCACUGGUCGAGUCGGCCUGCGCGGAAGAUGUAACGGGGCUAAACCAUGCACCGAAGCUGCGGCAGCGACACUAUGUGUUGUUGGGUAGGGGAGCGUUCUGUAAGCCUGUGAAGGUGUGCUGUGAGGCAUGCUGGAGGUAUCAGAAGUGCGAAUGCUGACAUAAGUAACGAUAAAGCGGGUGAAAAGCCCGCUCGCCGGAAGACCAAGGGUUCCUGUCCAACGUUAAUCGGGGCAGGGUGAGUCGACCCCUAAGGCGAGGCCGAAAGGCGUAGUCGAUGGGAAACAGGUUAAUAUUCCUGUACUUGGUGUUACUGCGAAGGGGGGACGGAGAAGGCUAUGUUGGCCGGGCGACGGUUGUCCCGGUUUAAGCGUGUAGGCUGGUUUUCCAGGCAAAUCCGGAAAAUCAAGGCUGAGGCGUGAUGACGAGGCACUACGGUGCUGAAGCAACAAAUGCCCUGCUUCCAGGAAAAGCCUCUAAGCAUCAGGUAACAUCAAAUCGUACCCCAAACCGACACAGGUGGUCAGGUAGAGAAUACCAAGGCGCUUGAGAGAACUCGGGUGAAGGAACUAGGCAAAAUGGUGCCGUAACUUCGGGAGAAGG